rnacentral:tRNA from 1 species
GGAUAGCUCAGUUGGUUAGAGCGCAGGACUCAUAAGCCUGAGGUCAGUGGUCGUUAUCCUUGUUCA